UUUAAAUUUGAUUAGGAUUUGAUUAAAAUUUAUUUAAAAUUAUUUUAGGAUUUGACUAGGAUUUAUUAGUAUUGAUUUAAGAUUUAAAAUUUCAUUAAGAUUUUAUUAGGAUUUUAUUUAGGAUUUGAUUAAUAUUUAUUAGGAUUUUAAUUAAGAUUUAAUUAGGAUAUGACUUAAGAUUUGAUUAAGAUUCAUUAAAAUUUUAAUUAAGAUUUUGAUUAGAAUUUGACCUAAG
rnacentral:lncRNA from 1 species